AUUGAACGCUGGCGGAAUGCUUUACACAUGCAAGUCGAACGGUAGAGGGGGCGAACCCCUUCGAGAGUGGCGAACGGGUGAGUAAUAUAUCGGAACGUGCCCAGUCGUGGGGAGUAACGUAGCGAAAGUUACGCUAAUACCGCAUACGAUCUACGGAUGAAAGCGGGGGAGUCGCAAGACCUCGCGCGAUUGGAGCGGCCGAUAUCAGAUUAGGUAGUUGGUGAGGUAAAGGCUCACCAAGCCGACGAUCUGUAGCUGGUCUGAGAGGACGACCAGCCACACUGGGACUGAGACACGGCCCAGACU
rnacentral:rRNA from 1 species